rnacentral:snRNA from 1 species
AUCGCUUCUUGGCCUUUUGGCUAAGAUCAAGUGUAGUAUCUAUUCUUAUCAGUUUAAUAUCUGAUACGUCCUCUAUCAGAGGACAAUAUAUUAAAUGGAUUUUUGGAGCAGGGAGAUGGAAUAGGAGCUUGCUCCGUCCACUCCACGCAUCGACCUGGUAUUGCAGUACUUCCAGAACGGUGCACCCCUU